rnacentral:misc_RNA from 1 species
GAUGAAGAACGCAGCGAAAUGCGAUAAGUAGUGUGAAUUGCAGAAUUCCGUGAAUCAUCGAAUCUUUGAACGCACAUUGCGCCCCCCGGCAUUCCGGGGAGCAUGCCUGUUCGAGCGUCUCUUGGAAUACCCCUCACGCCGGCGGAGGCGUGGUCAUGGCGGCGGUGGCGUGCCCCGAGAGGGAGGCCACCGCGCUGGAAUCCAUGGGCGGACGCCUGCCGCGUGGCCGAGCGUGAUAAGACGCACUGGCGCUCGCGCGCGGCGAGGCUGCCGGCCCUGGCCCGCUCGUCGGGCGGGGACAGCAACACUUGGGAACUCCUCGAAUCAGGUAGGGAUACCCGCUGAACUUAAGCAUAUCAAUAAGCGGAGGA